GAUGAACGCUGGCGGCGUGCCUAAUACAUGCAAGUCGAGCGAACGGACGAGAAGCUUGCUUCUCUGAUGUUAGCGGCGGACGGGUGAGUAACACGUGGAUAACCUACCUAUAAGACUGGGAUAACUUCGGGAAACCGGAGCUAAUACCGGAUAAUAUUUUGAACCGCAUGGUUCAAAAGUGAAAGACGGUCUUGCUGUCACUUAUAGAUGGAUCCGCGCUGCAUUAGCUAGUUGGUAAGGUAACGGCUUACCAAGGCAACGAUGCAUAGCCGACCUGAGAGGGUGAUCGGCCACACUGGAACUGAGACACGGUCCAGACUCCUACGGGAGGCAGCAGUAGGGAAUCUUCCGCAAAGGGCGAAAGCCUGACGGAGCAACGCCGCGUGAGUGAUGAAGGUCUUCGGAUCGUAAAACUCUGUUAUUAGGGAAGAACAUAUGUGUAAGUAACUGUGCACAUCUUGACUGUACCUAAUCAGAAAGCCACGGCUAACUACGUG
rnacentral:rRNA from 1 species